UACGGGGGGAGCAAGCGUUGUUCGGAUUUACUGGGCGUAAAGCGCGCGUAGGCGGCUUGGUAAGUCGGGCGUGAAAGCCCCGGGCUCAACCUGGGAACGGCGCUCGAUACUGCUGAGCUCGAGUACGAGAGAGGGGGGUGGAAUUCCAGGUGUAGCGGUGGAAUGCGUAGAGAUCCGGAGGAACACCAGCGGCGAAGGCGGCAUCCUGGACUGGUACUGACGCUCAUGAGCGAAAGCGUGGGGAGCGAGCCGG
rnacentral:rRNA from 1 species